GGGUUGUGAGGUUAAGCGACUAAGCGUACACGGUGGAUGCCCUGGCAGUCAGAGGCGAUGAAGGACGUGCUAAUCUGCGAUAAGCGUCGGUAAGGUGAUAUGAACCGUUAUAACCGGCGAUUUCCGAAUGGGGAAACCCAGUGUGUUUCGACACACUAUCAUUAACUGAAUCCAUAGGUUAAUGAGGCGAACCGGGGGAACUGAAACAUCUAAGUACCCCGAGGAAAAGAAAUCAACCGAGAUUCCCCCAGUAGCGGCGAGCGAACGGGGAGGAGCCCAGAGCCUGAAUCAGUGUGUGUGUUAGUGGAAGCGUCUGGAAAGGCGCGCGAUACAGGGUGACAGCCCCGUACACAAAAAUGCACAUGCUGUGAGCUCGAUGAGUAGGGCGGGACACGUGGUAUCCUGUCUGAAUAUGGGGGGACCAUCCUCCAAGGCUAAAUACUCCUGACUGACCGAUAGUGAACCAGUACCGUGAGGGAAAGGCGAAAAGAACCCCGGCGAGGGGAGUGAAAAAGAACCUGAAACCGUGUACGUACAAGCAGUGGGAGCACGCUUAGGCGUGUGACUGCGUACCUUUUGUAUAAUGGGUCAGCGACUUAUAUUCUGUAGCAAGGUUAACCGAAUAGGGGAGCCGAAGGGAAACCGAGUCUUAACUGGGCGUUAAGUUGCAGGGUAUAGACCCGAAACCCGGUGAUCUAGCCAUGGGCAGGUUGAAGGUUGGGUAACACUAACUGGAGGACCGAACCGACUAAUGUUGAAAAAUUAGCGGAUGACUUGUGGCUGGGGGUGAAAGGCCAAUCAAACCGGGAGAUAGCUGGUUCUCCCCGAAAGCUAUUUAGGUAGCGCCUCGUGAACUCAUCUCCGGGGGUAGAGCACUGUUUCGGCAAGGGGGUCAUCCCGACUUACCAACCCGAUGCAAACUGCGAAUACCGGAGAAUGUUAUCACGGGAGACACACGGCGGGUGCUAACGUCCGUCGUGAAGAGGGAAACAACCCAGACCGCCAGCUAAGGUCCCAAAGUCAUGGUUAAGUGGGAAACGAUGUGGGAAGGCCCAGACAGCCAGGAUGUUGGCUUAGAAGCAGCCAUCAUUUAAAGAAAGCGUAAUAGCUCACUGGUCGAGUCGGCCUGCGCGGAAGAUGUAACGGGGCUAAACCAUGCACCGAAGCUGCGGCAGCGACGCUUAUGCGUUGUUGGGUAGGGGAGCGUUCUGUAAGCCUGUGAAGGUGUGCUGUGAGGCAUGCUGGAGGUAUCAGAAGUGCGAAUGCUGACAUAAGUAACGAUAAAGCGGGUGAAAAGCCCGCUCGCCGGAAGACCAAGGGUUCCUGUCCAACGUUAAUCGGGGCAGGGUGAGUCGACCCCUAAGGCGAGGCCGAAAGGCGUAGUCGAUGGGAAACAGGUUAAUAUUCCUGUACUUGGUGUUACUGCGAAGGGGGGACGGAGAAGGCUAUGUUGGCCGGGCGACGGUUGUCCCGGUUUAAGCGUGUAGGCUGGUUUUCCAGGCAAAUCCGGAAAAUCAAGGCUGAGGCGUGAUGACGAGGCACUACGGUGCUGAAGCAACAAAUGCCCUGCUUCCAGGAAAAGCCUCUAAGCAUCAGGUAACAUCAAAUCGUACCCCAAACCGACACAGGUGGUCAGGUAGAGAAUACCAAGGCGCUUGAGAGAACUCGGGUGAAGGAACUAGGCAAAAUGGUGCCGUAACUUCGGGAGAAGGCACGCUGAUAUGUAGGUGAGGUCCCUCGCGGAUGGAGCUGAAAUCAGUCGAAGAUACCAGCUGGCUGCAACUGUUUAUUAAAAACACAGCACUGUGCAAACACGAAAGUGGACGUAUACGGUGUGACGCCUGCCCGGUGCCGGAAGGUUAAUUGAUGGGGUUAGCGGUAACGCGAAGCUCUUGAUCGAAGCCCCGGUAAACGGCGGCCGUAACUAUAACGGUCCUAAGGUAGCGAAAUUCCUUGUCGGGUAAGUUCCGACCUGCACGAAUGGCGUAAUGAUGGCCAGGCUGUCUCCACCCGAGACUCAGUGAAAUUGAACUCGCUGUGAAGAUGCAGUGUACCCGCGGCAAGACGGAAAGACCCCGUGAACCUUUACUAUAGCUUGACACUGAACAUUGAGCCUUGAUGUGUAGGAUAGGUGGGAGGCUUAGAAGUGUGGACGCCAGUCUGCAUGGAGCCGACCUUGAAAUACCACCCUUUAAUGUUUGAUGUUCUAACGUUGACCCGUAAUCCGGGUUGCGGACAGUGUCUGGUGGGUAGUUUGACUGGGGCGGUCUCCUCCUAAAGAGUAACGGAGGAGCACGAAGGUUGGCUAAUCCUGGUCGGACAUCAGGAGGUUAGUGCAAUGGCAUAAGCCAGCUUGACUGCGAGCGUGACGGCGCGAGCAGGUGCGAAAGCAGGUCAUAGUGAUCCGGUGGUUCUGAAUGGAAGGGCCAUCGCUCAACGGAUAAAAGGUACUCCGGGGAUAACAGGCUGAUACCGCCCAAGAGUUCAUAUCGACGGCGGUGUUUGGCACCUCGAUGUCGGCUCAUCACAUCCUGGGGCUGAAGUAGGUCCCAAGGGUAUGGCUGUUCGCCAUUUAAAGUGGUACGCGAGCUGGGUUUAGAACGUCGUGAGACAGUUCGGUCCCUAUCUGCCGUGGGCGCUGGAGAACUGAGGGGGGCUGCUCCUAGUACGAGAGGACCGGAGUGGACGCAUCACUGGUGUUCGGGUUGUCAUGCCAAUGGCACUGCCCGGUAGCUAAAUGCGGAAGAGAUAAGUGCUGAAAGCAUCUAAGCACGAAACUUGCCCCGAGAUGAGUUCUCCCUGACUCCUUGAGAGUCCUGAAGGAACGUUGAAGACGACGACGUUGAUAGGCCGGGUGUGUAAGCGCAGCGAUGCGUUGAGCUAACCGGUACUAAUGAACCGUGAGGCUUAACCUUACAACGCCGAAG
rnacentral:rRNA from 1 species